GAAAAACAAAACCUAAAGAAAAAAAAAAAAAAAAAAAAAAAAAAACGGCAGAGGGAGCUGGGAAGAAAAACAUUGAAAAAAGGCUAGAGGCUAUUGGUUAAUUAUAGAUUGAAGGAAAGAGUGGAGAAUCUUUUGGAGACAAAACCAUUAAUAAGGCAGCCAACUCGGGGAAAUUUUGGAAGAAAACGGAGGCUGCUAAUUGGAUUGCAAAAGGGCUGCAAAAUUAAUACAAUUGUUGGGAGAAAAGAAACAAUUGGAAUUUCACUCUUUUGGAGUCAACAAAACCGACAGCUAGGGGGAGAAAAGAAGGAAAAUUUGGGCGGCUUCUUGUAGUAAGAAAUUGAGUAACAUUUGGGCAUUGUUUUGGCUGUCAAAUAUUGUGGCUGGAUUUAAGAUAUACAGUAAUUAGAGAAGCCGAAAUUGGAGCAGAAACGUGGAAGCAGCUUCUGGUUUUGUUGCAUGGAAUUGGCAUACACACGCACAGAGCUAAUAAACAUUGAGCUCCCGUCAAGUUUUGGUGAUUUACUUCCACUUUUAUUUAUUUAAUCCCAAUAUUAUGCUAGGCUAAAUAUUUUCAUGUAUUGGAUAAUAACAAAAUUGUUUAAUUUGUAGUUUUAAUUCGAGACUUAUGUUUUUAUGUUAAUUAUUGCGUUGUGAUUACAUUAAUAUGCAUAAUUAGAUUGUUU
rnacentral:lncRNA from 1 species